GCGAAACAGAAGGACCGAUUUCUAUAGAAUUAUUUUAUAAACAUUCUGGGAAAACGAUUUUUUGGAUUAUACCUUAUAACUGGAUUACUGCAACAAUCUUUACAUUUUUACAGUUCAACAGUUUCAUCGUGUUUAUUUUCACUGAUAUCCUUUUAAUAUCGAUUAGUUUGAUUUUAGCUAAUAGAUUUCAACAACUAUCAAAAACACUUACAAAAAGGCAAAAAAUUCCUCAAUUUCACCCAGAUAAUGCUUCUUUUUGGAAAAACGUGCGAAAAGAUUAUUGCAAGCUAAGCAGUUUACUGUUUCUAAUUGACGACCACAUAUCCCUAGCGAUUAUUUUUUCAUAUUGUUUGAAUUUCUUCUCAUUGUUGCGAUUUUUAACUAAACUUUUACGAGAUUCGGAACAAAACCUUAUUGUGAAAUUUCAUGAUUAUUGUGACGCAUUAAACUUUACGUUGAGAAUUAUUUGCCUCACAUUGUUUUCGUCCUGGAUUAAUGAAGCUAGUCAAGAACCUGUAGCAAUUUUGAAUUCCGUGGUAGAACGAGAAUAUAGUGCUGAAGUAGGACGUUUACUUCUACAAAUUGGUUUUGAUGAAGUGGCCCUUACGGGCUGUAAAAUGUUUAAACUGAACAAAGGACUUUUCUUAAAUAUUGUGAGUGCAAUAGUCACAUACGAGCUGAUCGUUAUUCAGUAUAACAAUAACUAAAAACAAGGAUUGUGAACCACGGAGCUAAAAUUCACAUUUAGGUAUAAUCUGUUUUGAAACUUUUAUCGAGAAUGACAUACAACAUGCUUAAAAGAUAAAAUUUUAAUUCAUGUCUAAUAAUAAUCUGAUAAUCAUUUCAACUUGUCUAAGAGAGAUUGUAAAAAUCAUUGUAUAAUGAUUUAUUGUUAUUAUAUUUAAUACAUUAUCUGCACAAACAAUAAUUCA